rnacentral:lncRNA from 1 species
CCUUGUGAUCCACUCGCCUCGGCCUCCCAAAGUGCUGGGAUUACAGGUGUGAGCCACCGCGCCUGGCCAGCAAAAACAGAUCUUAAUUGGGGUUUUAUAGCAUUGAAUGUAUAUAUUAGAAAAUAAGAGAGAUCUACAAUCAAUUAUCUAAGCAUCCACAUAAGAAACUAGGAAAAAAAGAGCAAAUUCAGUUUAAAGUAGGUAAAAGAAAAGAAAGAAUAAAAGUUAGAACAGAAGUCAAUGAAUUUGAAAACAGGGAGUCAAUAGAAAAAAGUCAACAAAAUCAAAAGCUUGCCUUUAAAAGAUCAAUAAAAUCAUUAAGACUCUAGCCAGGCUAACUAGAAAAAGAGAAAGCAAACAAAUUAAUAAUACCAGCAAUGAAAGAGAGCAUAUCACUAUAGAUGCCAUAGUCAUUAAAAAAAUAAUACAGGAAACAAUAAAAUAAAUUAACAAUACAAAUAAAUAAAUAAAAUAAUAAAUAACAAAACAAUAAUAAAAAGAUAAUACAGGAAAACAAUAAAUAACUCACAAAUUUGAUAACCUACAAGCAAUGAAGUGAUUUCUUGAAAGACACAAUCUGCCAAAACAGGACAAAUCAACAACUCCUAUAUGAUGCUUCUCUACCAAGAAACUCUUCUGAUUUUAGCUUGUAGAAAUCUACAGCUCUAGCAGAGAACAUUUUCGUAGGUUGUCAUCCAAGUUUCCUGGGUGUUGUAGGGGGAGAAGAUCAGCAUGUACCUGUUUUCCUCUCUGCAGCUGGGCUUUUGACGUCUCAGUCAUUGCCCAUCCAAAACCUGUUGUAGUUUUUUAUUUCUCUCACUGACGAGGAGGACAUGAUAAUCCAAGGCAAUGCAAGAAAGGGGGAAAGUGGAAAUAGAGAGUGUUCCUCUAACUUAAUCCCUUGCUGCCACUUUUAGUUACCAUCAGUGCCUGGCUGCAGCUAUCCCUCCACAAAGAGUCACACAGACCCACAACAGUUCAUGAUAGCCUUCUGUCUUCCCAAGGAUUUCUCAUUUUUUUGUAAGUUCCUAAGAUCCAUGUUCUCCUUUAUUUCCAUAUAUUUGCUUUGUAGAGAAGGUUCCAGCAGGACAUGCUAGUUCUCCAUUCUGACAGGAAGAUGAAACCUCUUUUCAGAAUGGAGUUUAUAUUGGCCCCAGACAAUGGAUCAUUAUUGGUUUAAUUCUAGAAUGGUUUCUUGUUCUUUGCUUCCCAGCCUCUCUUGCAGCUAGACCUAGUCACAUGGCCCACUGUGCCCAAUAAAAUUAAAGGAAAUUCUGAUGUUGGACUUUUAGAAGUCCUUAUUAUUUCCUAACAAAAGAUUUAUCAUUUUAUCUUUAGCAUCUUGAAUAUAGAUGUGAUGCCCAGAAAAAAACCGCAGUCAUUGUGUAAGCAGGAGCGGAAAGACAAAAGAACAGCAGAGGCUAACCCUGAUAUCAUUGACCUUGUGAACGGAUGCCAGCAUCUACCUACUUCCAGAUUGCUUAGUUAAAAAAAAAAUUGUUAUGCCACCGUUAAUUGUGGUUAAUAUUAUGUGAAACAUGCAAAUGACCAGCUUUUUAUUUUACACAAUAGUUUCUAAGAGGAAAAUAACUAAUAUUUAGGAAAUACUUAGGAGUUUCAAGGUAAUUGUGCCAGAGACUCUAAAUAAAUCAUUUCAAUUACACUUCAUAGAAAGCCCGCAUGGAGUUAUACAAUUUCCAUUUUUUUGAUUAGAGAAUUUGGGCUGAGGGAAGGGAAAUAACCUUGCUGAGGGCUAAAAUUUAAAUAUAGGUCUGCUUUUUCCAAUAUACCGUAUUACCUGCCCAAUCUAUCUGUUUAUAAUACCAAAUGGAUCUACAUGUGGGAAUUCAUAUAUUUACAGUGACUUUUAACUAUUUUCCUUGUCCCAGGGAGGCUUGUUUUUGUAAAUGGCACUCAUUUCUGUUUAACAUUUACAGCCCUAAUUCCUUUGGUUCUCAAGAUUUUUUACCAUUAUAUUGCACUAUCAUAAGGCAAACCCCCUUGAGCGGGCAUGCUCUUAAAUACUUACCAGCUAACAGAUAAUAUAGUAUUGAAAUCUAGCCUGGAGAGAAUGGGGCAUGAGCUAGGCACUUGAUGAUGGUUCUGAAAAGGGAGGUUAAAAUUUCCCAAAGACAGUCUUUGUCUCCUGUGCUAUUCUGUUUAAGACAGGUCCUGGGGAUAUGAUGUCCUUUAUUAUUAUUAUUAUUAUUAUUAUUAUUAUUAUUAUUAUUAUUAUACUUUAAGUCUUAGGGUACAUGUGAACAACAUGCAGGUUUGUUACAUAUGUAUACUUGUGCCAUGUUGGUGUGCUGCACCCAUUAACUCGUCAUUUAGCAUUAGGUAUAUCUCCUAAUGCUAUCCCUCCCCACUCCUGCCACCCCACAACAUCUAUGAGGGAAUUAAUCUAUGAGGGAAUACAGACCAGUGACCUCAGAAUAGAGAGGUGAGAUACAAUGUGUGACAAAAAAAAAAAAAAAUCUAAGCAACAGAAAAGACACUGUCCUGCCUUUCUCUUAAAUCCACUUUGCACUUUGUGUAUGAAAGAGAAACCAGGCUUUGUCACUGGCACUGACAAGGACCAGUAGCAGAUCCGAAGAGGAUGUCAGACCACAGCAAAGGCGUUAACCAAAGCACCCACAGUGUUAUGUAGCUUUGAGCUACAGGGAAUAACGAGUCUCUGUCUUGAUUUGUUUUUGAACAAGGGAAGCACUUAAAGAGAUGGUAAAUAGGCUUUGUUUUGAAUUUUUUAGUUUUGUGCCUAGACCAAGUAAUGUGAUCAUUAUUAUCCUUGAAAUAUUUUUAUCCAUUUCUAGUAAGUUGCAGAAUAUUCUAAUUUUGGAGAAUAAGUUAUUCCAGUUCAUUUCGUUGCUGCCUUAAACAAUGAAGAAUGCAAACUUGACCACAAAGACCUCAAUAAUCAACUCAUAGAGAAUCAUAAAAUUUUACCUCUCAUCAGGACCUUAGAGAGCAAAGAGUUCCGUCUCAAGGUUUCAGAGAUGAAUAAACAGAUCCAGAGAGGUUAAAUGACUUUGACCAAGGUCACAGUGUUCAUCUACAACUGCACUGGGACUAUAACCAAGAACUCCUGAAACUGUUUCAUUGUAAUUCUACCACUCCAUGAAGCUUUCAUAGGGCAAACUGCAUAUAAAUAUAUUAAAGGGCUCCAAACUGCAAGACAAUUCUAGAUUCAUAUUCCAUACCCAUCUACGUUACACAAAUUACCAAAUCUUCCCCAUGUUAAAAAAAAAUAUGUGGAGUGGUCAGCAUUGUGAUUGUACACACACAGACACACACACACACACAGAUACUUAAAACUUUAUUAUAUUUUAAAGAUGUGCCAAGAUAUUUUUCAUAGGUUUACAUAUUUACCAGUAUAAAUCAUAAAGAAAGGGUAUUUCAGUAGAUUGAUUUAACCCAGGAUUUUGUUCUUCUAAAAUACAUGGAUUCUCUUUAGAGAUUACAAACCAUAUAGCUUUGUAUACAUUAUAAAUAACAUAUACAUAUUUUAAUACUUCCAUUAAGGAAGAAUAGUAAAUCAUAAGUGUUUUGCAACUGGACUUUAAUCUAUGCCAGAGAAAUGCCCUUGUUAUUCUGUUGUUUCUUGGGUUGUCCUUUAUCAUUUUCCUUGCUGGCCUAAUCACUUAAAAUAUAACCUUGGAAAAGUACCUUACUUUUCUGAGUUCUAACUAUUUAAAAAAACUAUGGAUAAGUACAUUUAUAAAACUUUCUCCUUAUUUCCUUAUUACAGUUUUUAUUCUCGUUCUGCAAAGAAAUACACCUAAGUCAGUCCCUCUUUUUCACUCAAAUUUCUCACUUCCUAUAGCAAAUGCUUAAAAAAAAGGUAGGAACUGACUGCACUCCCCCUUCUGGUAGUAUUUUAGCCACAAGACACACAUUGUUGGGCCAUUUGAGAUGUGAUUAAAGCUCAACUAGCCUACUUCUCCCACUGGAGAGAACUUGUUACCAAAGGAGAACGGUCUAUUACUGCCAAUAAAAAUAGAAUCAAGUGUGUAUGUGUGCAUUAUAUAUCACAAAAAACCUUUCAAUGUUUUAUCUCAUUUCAUAUUCACAACAAUAUUGUGAGGAAAAUAUUACUUCUGAGUUCAGAUUAAGAAAGUGUGGUUAUUUCAUAAUGUAUGAUUAUUUACACAAAUUAACAGUUCAUAUCAAUUAUUAAUUACUUAUGAAUUACUCAUAUCAUUUCCCAGAUAAACAAUAAUUGCAAAUAAAAUUUAUUGAGUUUCUCCCAUAUUUAUUGACAAAUCCUAAGACAUAUAAAAAUAUCUCCAUUUUUCAUAUGAGCAAACUAAUACUUAGCAAAUAUAAGUCAUUUGUCCAAGUUCACACAGCUAACAAGCAGUAGAGUUGAAUUUGAAUUCAGUCAGUAUGCGUAUAUAGCCAAUAGUUAAAAAUGCAGUUAAGCUAUGAAAAUUGUCAAGAAAUAAAAUAAAGACAUGAAGAGGAACAGGAAACAAAUGAAAUCAAUUAUAGUUAUUGCUAAUAUAGUUAAUGUUAUUGAUCAUAAAUUUUACCUAGAGGUUUCCUAUUGGCAACAGAGCUGAAAAGGAAAACGUGGUUGAUUCAGUAACAUCUCUUUCCUAAUUUUGUAAAGUUAAAAAGGGAGCUGCAAAGAAUUGAAAAGUAGAGAUAUAUAUGUCAUUGAAGUUAAAUAAUGAAAUAAUUUCUCUUUGGUGAUCUAAUGUCCACAAACGUGGUAUAUGUGCUGGGUCUACUCCACUGCCUUCUCUGAACCCCUUCCUGGGCUUCUGUCCUCCUCCGCCUUGCCUUAGAGGUGACCUUAACGACCCACAUCAGUGUAUUUCCUUACCCUCUUCUCUUAGGUUUUUCCAGUGGAGGACAAGCAGAUAAUUUGAGGGCCAACGAUGGAACAGUUAGCCACCCAGUAGAGCUACUGAGUUCCAUCCUGGUACUGGGGAAUGUCUAUAGAGACUCCUGUGAUGUGAUCCAUCUUCAGAUCUUGCAGCCAUGACUACUAGCACCUGCUCCAGGUCCCACGUGUUUCAAUGGACAUUUGUCUCCAUCAUAGCCACAUCACACCACAGAUUUGAUUUUUCAGUUCAUUUGGUCAAAUGCCACUCAAAACAAGAAAUGCUAAAGGAGAAGAAGAGUCCAGUUCAAGAUCUGCAUUUCAUUUCUGAUGUUGGCCCAACAACUUUUUCCUUCCAGUUUCUCGGAAGCCUGCCUCCAUAGUUCUCUUUUCCCCCAGUUCGCCCAAGAAUUUAAAGUGAGAAUUCAGAAUAUUCUUUCCCCUUUUCCCCUACUAAUGAUUCAACAGGUAGUAUGAAUUUUCCAUAUUCUGUUUAAUGCUAGGCAUCAGAUUUUCAGAGUUUCUAGCCUCAUUUCCUCUGAAACCAUUAUUUUUGCUGUGUAGUAUCUCUGUCUAAGGUUGUAUUUUAAAAGAUUCCCAAGUCCUUUGUACUAUGACAAGCAUGGAAUAUAACUUUACUAUUGACAAAGAACAAAGAGAGAUCAGAAAUAAAAACACUGGGAACUGUACACAAGCUCUGUAACCUCCUUUCUUGAGACAUUCUGAAACUUGCUAUAAAGCAAUUUAUAUGAAAGCAUUCUCAUGUACAAUAUUUCACACAAUCCCCAUAUUAAUACGAAGUGAAGUCAUCAAUCUCCACUUAAAUUUACAUGUUAAGAGACUAGCCUUUGACAUGUAAAGUAACUCACCCAAGGUCACGUAGCUAGUAAAUGGCAAAAUGGAGAUUUUUAACUAGGUUUAAUAAAUCCAAACCAUUCCCCCAAACUAUUUUGUUGUCCAAUAAGAGUUAGAGAAAUUGCGGUUUAAAAACAGGAAAUAGAUUAACAUCAAUGAGAAUAGGCACUAUAAACAGUAGCUAUGAUCUAUUGGGCCUUUCCAACACAUUACAACAGGCUGUGGGUAUCUGCAUGAAAUAUGCAUAGCAUUGCAAUGGGAAAGAGGAGCUAUGAGCCUUUCAGAAUAAGUGGGCCAAACGCAGUGUAGAAUGCUCCCUACAGUUGCCCUUUUGUGAAAUUCACACUCUAAUCACAUAUUCAAUGUUUGUCUUUGUGGAGAAUAUACUCUCUACAAAGGGAAACAACCUUAAUUCUCCUAAACAUAGACACCAGGAAGAAAAAUAAGGUUAAUUUCUUCAUUCUAGAUUCUAGCUGAUGCCAGCUCUAGAGCUUCCAGGUUGCCCAGGACUAUACCAGAAGCCUUUACUUCAUCCUAUGCAUAAUAUUGACAAAUAAGCUUAUGUUUUAAACACUGAUUCUCUGAAAAAUGUUUUAAAUCCAGCCAUGAAGUGUCCAUAAGCUAACAUAUACAUUACUUUUACAAGGUGCACUCUGGAAGGAAUCCUUUAAAAAGUUAAAAUUUAUUUACGUAAGCUAUGUAGUUGUGUGGCCACUAUGAAAGAAUACUUAGUCAGUAGAACACAGAAAGAAAAUGAAAUCAGGAGUUAUGCUACAUCAGAUGGAAGAAGCAAUGCAGUGUCUGGUAAGGAAAACAAACAAACAAAACAUGAGUUGUCCAGGACUAGCUCUACUAGAAGCAGUGUAACAUGUUGGAAAUAGCUCUUCAAUCAGAAAGUCUGGUCUCCUUAUAUACUAGCUAUGUAGCUUUAGACAAUCCAUUUAAGUCCCUGAAACUUCUCCCAUAUUUUAAUAAAAAUAUCUUUUGAGAUAACAUCCACAAGCACUUUUAAAACACAUAUAUGUAAUUAGUAAGGACUGGGGGACAGGAGUAUGCUGUAAAAUGCUCUGCAAAUAUAAUUUCAUGAAAACACAUAACUACACUGGUGAUAUUAAAUGGACUUUAAUCAGUGGUGAUAAAAGAUGGUCAAUUGUCUAUAUAAUGGAUAACAUGGUAGCCAUUUUUCAACUUCAAGUUUAAGCUUCAAUGAACCCUCAUUUCCUCAAGCCCAUAAUAUGGCCAGUAAUUAAAAUUAUAUUUCUGGUUUUAGUUGAAACUUCUAUGAUUCAAGUGGUUUUGCAGCCCUUCUCACAUCAAAAUAUACAGAGAGCCAUUUGGCUAUUUUCAUAAUACUGAGUUGGUUGGUUUAAUAUCAAGGUUAUUUUUGUUUUGUUUUGUUUAGCUAUAUAGGUCUACUGGUUACUACUGCAACGUUUAAAUUAGGUUCAUGCCUCCUUCUGUUAACAAAGAUUAAGACUCAUGUCCUGAUUGCCUCUGGAAAAUGUUGGGUAAAAGGAAAAUAAGUACUUUUGGCAGCGAAGUGAUCCAUCCACUCGGAAUAACUGACCUAGAUAAAUGGGCUCUGAAAUGGGGACUGAUUAGCCUUCCUAUCAUUAGAUAGGCAUACAGCAGGCCUUACCUUCUGUCUCUUUGUUUAAUGUACUAAGAAGUUUUCUUAAGAACUUGUCAAAGGGUACAACGGUGGAUGAGGCACAACCCCAACUGUGUCCAUAGUAGGCAGACUGAAACCACAGGUCAUCCAGCAUUUUGAGAAAUGGGGAAGGUGCAUGCCGUCUUCUGCCAAAUUUAUCUAAACAAAACAUGUGUGAGGUUAUUAAGAAUUAUAAAGACUUUACAGGCUAUUUUUAUAUAGGAUCCAAAUCAAAGGGAAGGAAGAUUAAAGCCAACACAAUUUCCAUUUAUUUUACAGUGCAGCACAGUUGAGGGCAAGAAGUGAGAGUGGGGAAUACUUAACUUGGCAUCAGAAUACCAGGAUUACAGACCUAACUCUUACAUUAAAUUGAAAUGUGAUCUUUGGAAAAGCUAGCAUAAAUAAUGUUUUAAAGGCAUUUUCAAUUAUAACAUUAUAUCAUUCUUGAUUUAUAUUCUUGAUAACUAAAAGAGAAACCACCAUUGUUCAUUUUUUUGGCCAGUUGCAUGCCAUUCCUUUCCUACAUCUGUCCAGAAGGUCAAAAGCAGAGUCUAAAUUAGGGCAUCUCCAAAAGACAAACAGCAUGGGGCAUGUUCAAUAUCAGCUUAUUCAGGACACAACAAAAGACAUGUUCUAAAAUUUAUCCUAUGACUAAGCCUCAAGUGGAGACUUUAAAACUGUCCUCUAUUUUCAGAUCUCUUUAUUUAAUGUUUCAUGGAAUCUGAAAAAUGUGGAGGAGAGAGAAUCACUUUUCUUUUCAGUCAACACGAUGCCAUGACAACCAGUUAAAAUGUGAAGGAUUGUCAAAUCAACAAUUGUUUUGUCCACAUGAUGCCAAAUAACAACCAGUUUGAGUGAUUUGUUUUUUAAGUACAAAUUUGUUCAGUUGUUGAAGCACGUAGAUACACGCUCCUUAAUAAUCAUACCUUUUAUUUUCUUCACAGUGUACAAACCAAUUUCAAACAUAUUAUCUCAUUUUUAUUCUGAUUUUUCCAACAAGCUCUGGACUGUCAGUAGAGCAUUAUUAUACAGUAUUACUGUAUUUAUUUUACAAAUGAAGAUUAUAAGUGGGAUUUAAGUUGUAUAAGCAUAACUAUCCCAAUUAAUUUGCUCUAUUUUCUCUAAAUGAAACUGAAGAAAAUACAGUGUUUUGCACAUCAGAUUGUAGUAUGUAAAUUUUGCCUGGCCCAAAGAACAUGUUCAGCAAAUGGUGUUUAACAGUAUUUUACUAUUUUCCAUUAUCAACAGUGGAGUGUCCGCUUCCCCACUGGAUUAUUGUUCUUCCAUGUAUAGGCAAAUGUUGAACACCUUCAUUCUCUUCUGCAGCCUAGGUCCUGGAAAAAUAGAGGCCCUUUCCUUUGGCACCUAGGUUUGUCUCCUUUACUUCUGUUGAAAUAGAUAUCACCUCAAAUAUAAUUCAGUUCCAACAGACUGAGUCUACUGAAAUUUCUUGACUAACAUUGUAAAGAGAUGGAGGCUUAAGAAAGUAAUUUGGUCAAGAUUACUUGAUGAUAAAUGUUGUAAUCAAGACACGAAUCCCUGUCUAUAUCACUUCAAAGCCCAUUCUUCAAACAUGUUUCAAAACUUGUUUUCAGAUUUAAUGUCAAAUCCUAAAAUUCUUGUUAUCCUGGAGCUCCCCACUCAUUGUCCCAGUGGUUUUCUGUACUCUUAGGGAAGGGUAGAUACUGAGUAGAAAUGGAAACUAUUGCUCAACUUUAACUGUUAAAUCUUGCUUUUAAGAUUUCGUUUUAUUUUAUUUAGUCCCUAGACACAAUGUUCUUAAAAGCCAAGUAAGAUUGAGGAAGAAAAUGCUUUUCUUAAUUUUUUUUCAGCUCCUAUUAAAAUAGCAAGUGCUGGCCCUAAAUCCCAGAGCUGUGGACGGAGAGAAUCUGCCAUCUGGAUCAGCCUAACCUGUGAUUUAUUCACUUUCUCACUCAACAGACUUUAUUGAGUGCCAACUAUGUGGGGAACAACACAGACUCAUGGAAAUUCAUGAAAUUUGCAGUCCAGCAGGUGACUUAGAUAUUGACUAAAUAGUAAAAAGUAUGAUAUACCGAGGUACAGGAUACUGUUGGGGACAUUUAACAGGGAGUGAACUUAGUCUGGGGCUCAGAGUAAGCUAUCUUCCAAGAGAGAGAUGAUAUUAGUGCUGCAACCUAAAGUAUGAAUACAAGUCAGCUGGAAUAGAGCAGAUUCAGGUAGCUGAAAAAAUAUAUUCAAUGUUUGGAUGGUUAGUUGUGUGUGUCAACCUGGCUAGGUUAUAGUAUCCUGUUAUUUAAUUAAACACUAAUCUAAGCAUUGCUGUGAGGGUGUUUAUAGAUGUCGUUAACGUCUACCACCAGUUGGCUUUAAGAAAAUUUUCUUUGAUAACAUGGAUGGGUCUCAUUCAAUUAGUUGAAAGGCAUUAAGACAAAAGCUGAGGUUUCCCUGAGGAAGAAGAAAUUCCAUCUCUGGACUGCAGCUUCAACUCUUGCCUGACAGUUCAGCCCUUGGGCUGCUCUAUGUAAUGCUUGCCAGACCCCACAAUUGCAUAAGCCAAUUCCUUGCAAUAAAUCAUAUAUAUGUACACACAGAUACACAUGUAAACAUAUACACACAUUAUGAUUCCUCUAUUUCCCCAUAAGCCUCUCUCUAUAUAUAAUCUAUAUCUAUAUCUAAUAUAAACAUAAUAAAACGCUGACUGAUAUAACUUUUUGCUCUAGGAAGUGAGGUAUUACUGUAACAAAUACUUUAAAAUGUAGAAGUGGCUUUGGAAUGGAGGAAUGAAUAAAGGCUGAAAAAUUUUUGAGGAACAGGAUAGAAAAAUCUUACUUUGAAGAGAUUUUUGGUGAGAAUAUGAAUGUUAAAGGUAAGCAUUUAGAAGAUAAUGAAUAAAGUUACUGGAAACUGGAGAAGAGUAAAUUCUUGCUAUAAAGUAGCAGAAAACAUGAUGGAAUUGUAUUCUACAGGUAGGUGAAAAGCAGAACAUGUAAGCAAUGAACUUGAAUAUUCAUCUGAGGAUAUUUCCAAGAAAAGCGUAGAAGGUGUAGGCUGGUUUCUUCUUACUGCUUUUAGGUGAAUGCAAGAGGAAGGAGAUAAAUUGAGGAAGGAACUGUUAAGUAGAGAGAAAUAAGCACUUGAUGGUUUGGGAGAUUCUUAGCCUAUCCAGAUUGCAAAGGAUGUUAAAAUUAAGAAAAUCAUGGUUGAGAAACUACAUUCCUGAGAAAAGUCCAAGUGUGUGGCUAAACAAACUUUUGCUGAAGAGAUUAUAUUUGUGACUCAUGAGUCCACUCAACCUUCUGGACAAAAGCCAGGUGUAGUUAUGGAAUUAUCUAGGAAAGACCUGUGGAGAAUCCUUUUGUCCAAUGGCAUGAAUCACCUUGAUAUAGAGGGGAAGCCUAUAAGGUUUCUGAAAAUGUGAUACCAGCAGAACACUGUCAGCCUGGACAAAAGAAACAGAGACCAGAUGAAAUGAUGGAAGGUUAUCAGACUUCCAAAAUUCUGCAGGCACAAAACAUGCUGAUAGAGCUACCUGACUGCAAACAUCUGCUCUUGUUCAAGAAAAAGGAAGAAUGAUUCAGAGGGCAAUGGAGCUGCCAGCAAGGGCAUGGAGGGUGAGGAAGCUGCCACUUAGAGUGCAGGAGGCAGAACGGUGAGGCAAAUCAUUAUUCUCAGGCCUUCCAAUCUAACAGAAUUUGCCCUCCUGUAUUUCACACUUGUUUAGAACUAGUGACCCCUUUAUUCCUUCCAUUUCCUGUCUUUUGGAAUGGGAAUAUCUAUCUCAUGCCUACAUCAUCAUUGUAUUUUGUAAGCAGGUAACUUGUUUUCAAGUUUUACAGGCUCACAGAUGAAGAGGAAUUUUAUGUUUGGAUGGAUCAUCCCUAUAGUCUCACCGAUAUCUGAUGUAGAUUAUUUCAGUGAUGAGAUUUGGGACUUUUUGUGUUUAUAAUAUUCUGAUGCGAUUUGGAACUUAUAGUUAAUGCUAUAGUGGACUGAGACUUUUGAAUAUAUUGAGACGAAGUGAAUGUAUUUUGCAUGUGGAAUGGUUAUAAAGUUUCUGGUGCCAGAGGACAGAGAGCGUAGGUCAAACUGUGUCCUUACAAAAGAUACGUUCACUUGGAAGUUCAGCAUAUUUGCUUAUUUGGUAUAAGGGUAUUUUGCAGAUAAACUAGGUGAGGAUUUUGAGAUGAGAUAAUCCUAAAUUAGAGUGAGCCCUCAAUAUAAUGAUAAAUAUCCUAAUACAAGACAGAAGAGGAAAAAACACAGACACACACAGGGAAGAAGGCCACAGGAAGACUAAGGCAGGAAUUUAAAUGAUGCCUAUAAGAGCCAAGGAAUGCCGAAGAUUGCCUGCAAGCACCAGAUGCUGGGAGUUAAGGGGUGGAAUGCAAUCUCCCUCAGAGAGAACCCCUAGAAGGAUACAGCCCUGCUGAUACCUUGACUUUGGAUAUAUCUGUCUUCCAGAUUAGAAAAAAAAAAAAUCUACUUCUAACAUUUUGAGCCACUAAGUUUGUGAUCAUUUGUUAUGGCAGUUUUAGAAAACUAAUAUAAAAGUCUUGAGUUAUCUGAGUCAGUGAAAGAAAAAAAGAAGAAAAGAAAAAAGUGAGCAAGGCUGGAUCAUAUAAAAAUAGGGGUAACUGGACAUGAGUGUAAAGAAUUAGCCAAAGGCUGACAUUUCCCAAUCCCUAAGGGCCACUAAAGGAUUUUUCUUCAGAAAAUGAUAUGAUCAAAUUUGUCUUUUUGAAGGAUGUCUCUGGCCACCUGUCAGAAAAAUGGCUUGUUACUGGUGUGGAGAGAGAGGUGGCAGAGUGUCAGAACAAAGUAGAAAUUCCAAGAUCCAAGCAAAAAAAAAUUAGAAUGCAAGAGAAUAGUGAAAAUUGAAGAAAUGAACCAAGCAAGUACAAAAGAAGACAAGAGGCCUUUAGCUUAAGAAAAUGCAAAAAUAAUGAUAAUCAAAGUUAUUUCAGGUUAUUUAAUGCCAGUGCAUGACUAGAAAAUAGGAGACCUUCACAAUAGGAUAGACCUCAGUGCACAUGUUCCCUCAGAAACCUUGCUUUUGGGCAAAUUGACUAAACUGUCUGAGCCAAGUUUAUCAUCUUAAUAGUAGAUAUAUUUUUAGACUUGUUGAAUGGAUGAGAAAUUUUACACUCUAACAUAAAAGGUGAGUAGAGCAAAUUUCAAAAGAGGAAGAAGGAAUCUCUUUAUUCUUUUUCUCCUUUUAUUUCUCCUAUCAUUAUUUUAAAUACUGUUCCUAGCAGCUGAUUAUCCUAACCUUUCCAUUCUCCAUUAGCUAAACCUGGAUUCUACCAGCUUUAUCAGUUUCUCUCUCUCUCCUUCCAUCAUUUUGAUACGUAAAACCACUACUAUGAUUUCUCUGUUUGAUCUCAAGUCUUUUCUCAAACCAGCUCCUUUUCUUCCUGCAGCCACACACAUGAAUGAACAAACACAAACAUAUCUAAGAAAUAUCAAUUUGUAUUCCUUUCAUCAGGAAUCAAUAGAGCCACAAUCUACCAGCAACUGGCUCUUCCUGUAAUUUGCACUGAUUUAGGUUAUUUGUUUUUAUUCAAUUACUAACGCUUAUUUUUCCAACUAGCUUAGACAUACUCCAGGAAAGCAUUCUACAUUUAUGUUAGAGGAAGUGGAGGGUUUAUCCCACUGUCAUAAUCGGCCUAGAUUCCAGGUCUUAUUUUCAAUCCCUAAAAAAAGACUUUCUUAUGAUUCUUUAUAAUCUAGUCAAAUUCUGUCUUCCCUUAUGUUUUGUUUGUUUGUUUGUUUUUAAGAGUAUCAGAAAUAAUUGGAGAUGAUGCUGUUUGUUUUGACUCCCACUCUUUCUACUCCUUAACAUGAAAGAUCAGAGUCUGGGCUCUCUACUCUUCCCAAAGUGUUACAUCCUCUGGCCCAUCUUUAUUCCUUUGCUCACAUUCUUACUCCUGCUCAAGUGUAUUCCCACCCCUUCCUGCCCAGCCAAUCCCUAUUCAUGUUUAAUGGCUGAAGCACUUUCCAAAAUCUUCCCAGACUACUCCAGCCUACAUAGCCCUUCUCUUUUACACUGUAUGAAUUUAAAGUCAAUAUGAAAACCUAAGUUUCUAAAUUUUACACAGUUUUAUUAAUACGUUUGACACCAAUCUCUCAACUUACUAUACCAUAAACUACCUGAAGUAAAAAUUAUAUCUUAUAUUUUUUGCAAACAUCAAAGCACAGGUAAUAAAUAAGAAAUGCUAUAAAAGCCAUAAAUAUUAUGACCGAAAGCAGUAGGGGGAUAAAAAGCAUGCAAAGGAAGUCUUUUUCAAACCACUUCUAGCCAUCCAUACUUCUAGAUAUAUGACCAGAGUUGUGAACCUCCCUGUGUAGUUCUCAGACUUCAUACAUCGGUGAUGCUGUUUAAAUGCAGCUCCCGAGACUCCUCCUGCAAGGAUUCUGUAGUGAUGCUUGGGUAGCUACCUUUUACCAAGGCAAUCCAGUGAUUCUUAUUCAGAAGACUGAAGGACAAUCUUGUGAGAAAUAUCACUCUAGGGAUAAAGUAACAAAACUACAUGUCCUAGGAACUAACACUGAGCAGGAAGAAGAGAAACACAGGCUGUAGCCAGACAUUCAGGUAAUCUCCCACUUCCUGUAAAUUAUAGUCUGGAAUUUUGGACUCUCAGCCUCUCCAUCUCUUACUAACUACAAUGUCUCCAAUUCCUCACUUGGCAAUCCUACAGUUAAAGUUCCUUUCUAGACUUUUACUUUUUACUAAACACUCAUCUAAUACUUGCUAUGAUCUAGUGAGUCUUGUAUACACAUACUAGUUAUUUUAACAUGAAAUUUGUGAGAUAGAAUCCCUUUACUGUCUUCAUGUUAUAGAUGAGGGAACUAAGGCACACAGCAGUAAAAUAACUUGCCCAAGGUCAUAGACUAAGUACAUAGCAGAGCUGAGAAUCAAACCCAAGCAAUCUGGCUCCAUAGCCUGCAAUCUGAACCACCAUAAAACCAUCACAAUGUACUGCCUCAUCAGUUCUGCAUUUCAGACAUAUUGCAUGCUUUUCCCAGUUUCUGAUGUCAAUACAAUCAAUAGAUAUUCAAUAUUUAUUACGUGUCAGCUAUCAUAAUAUGUACUAGGACUAUAACCCCAGAAUAAAACUCCAUCUGUGCUUUCAAGAAGCCUAUAUUAUAAGGUAGAAUCCAGAAAAAUAAAUGAACAUAUAACUAAACAUAUUGAUAAGUAUUAAUAUCACAAUAGGGACAAGAAGAGGAUAUUAUGGGAGCACAUAGGAAGGAAACUUAUCAUAGUCUUGGGACUGAAAAGACUUUCCAGAGGAAAUAUCAUCUAAGCUGAAGUCUGAAAGAGCUCUUGCAAACAAGUUAAGGUUGAUGGACUCACAGUACUGAGGUGUCUAGAGGAAGAUGGACAUGAGAGAAUGUCAUGGUCAAAGGUAAAGGCAUAUGCAAAAAAUGUGAGGCAAAAGAAAGUUUGGUAAAUUUCAGAAACUUUAGGUUGUUCAUUGUCAUCAUACAGAAAAGUAAAAGAAGGUCAAUGGUAACAGACAAAUAAAGGAGAAAAUGUUUCUUGGGAUCUUUUUAUUUCUUUCUUUUAGAUGCUAACCCUAAGGAAUCCAUUCAAACUCUUGAUUACUCUCCAUGCUGAACAGGUUAGUCUGAAGUAUUCUUGACCCAUGAAACGGAAUUAAUCAAAUCCUAGUGGCUCAGCGAAGCUCACCUUAGACCUUUCAUCUGAAAUUAAUAUGUUAUGAUUGAUUAAUACAACUAAUGGAUACCGUAUUUCUGAGCAUACCGACAUAUGACAACACAAUUCUUUUCAAACAAAGAGGAUUCAAAAUUCUAUGUGUAUAGAUAGCCAAUAAACAAAAGCUUUAAAGUCAAUAUAAUCUAAUACCUGAAAACUUGAAAUUUUUUUUGUAGUUGUUUAAACAGUUCUAAUUUAUAGUUAGGGACUUUGAUUUUCAAUCUUCAUUAACAAGCACAGUGCAAUAAAGAUGGAUCACUGUAUUAAUGAAACAAAAUUAUUAUGUGUUAUUUAUACAGGACAGCAAUAAAAUGAGACCAAGAAGAUUAAGCAUUCUAGCAUGCUGUAAUUUAUGUCAAAGUAAUGUCCUCCUUUGAAGUCAGAGUCUGGCUUAAACAAUGAAGCAGGAAAAAUGUUCAAAACAGCAAAGGGGACUGGGAAAGUAAAAAUCCAGUUUCAUGUAGAAUAUCGAAAAUAUUUUGGCCAAUUUAAAAGAAAAAUCACUUAUAGAACAUAAUCUGAGAAAAAAGAAGGUGGAAAACAGCUUAGUAUCUCUCCCUAUCUUAGUUUGCCAUACUUAGUCAAAGUCAUUUGAAAAGCUACAUUCGUAAGAGCUAGUGAGGUAAAGUGUUUCAAAUGUCCUCAGUGCACUCUUUGAGGCUCUAUGGGACAGUGAAACCCUGAUUCACCUGUUAGGGAAAACACACACAAAAAAACACUUGACAUGUUUAGAGAUAUUCAGUUCUUAAAUGAAUAAUCUUCAUUAUUAACAAAUGGCUUAACAAAGAAAGCCAGUGUUACAAGUAUGCCGAACCCUUACUCCUAACUGCAUUUAUCCCUACUAAAACUAUAAAGUGUCUCUUUGAAAUAAAAUUUUGACAAUAAACAAAUAGUAUGGUUCUUUGCAAUUUUUCUGAGUCCUAAUUUUUAAAAAAUGCAUUAAGGAUGUCAUUUUUAAUCUGGGCCCCACCAAGAGAUUUGCAGCAAUGUAUCAGGGAAAAAGCAAAGCCAGGGAUAUAAACCUAUUGCAUCACCAUAUAGAAGCAAUUUAACUGAAUAAUUUUGGGGAAAAGUUUUUUUCUUUCUUUUUUUGUUUUUAUUCUUAAGAGGUUUUGUCACACCCACUUACAACCAAAAUUAGUUUUUGGGUGGAAGCCUAGAAAGUAGAAGUUUUUAUGGGCAGUAAGUGAUUGUCAAAUUCUGUACUUGUGUGUUGUGAAAAGGCCCAUGAUAUUAACACUGCGCUGAAUUAAAGGAAAUACCAUAAAUUAUGGUAUUCUUGUAAUCAUCAAGACUGGUGUUUUUUUAGAGCUGAAAUUUACAGGUUUUUCUCCUGAAUGUCUUUUUUAAAAUUACAUACACUCUCUCACACACACAAAUAUCACUGGCUCACCAAAAUUAUUCCAACCUCCUACCACAAUUUUUUCAUGUAUAUUUUUUCUUAAAUAUAGGACUUCCAUUUUCCCAUAUUGUAGAAGAAACAAAAAUUCUGGAAUUUGAGGCUGGGCAUGAUUUUAGUAUUAUAUUGCUUUUGCAUUUUAAAACUUUAAAGAUUUUAAGUAUUUUUGAUAAUGAAAAGAAACAAGUUUCAAAAAAGUUUGAGGAAAAUUCUGAACAUCAAGUUUUGUCAUCUGUAAAUGUAGAUAAUAGCUGCCUUGUACUUUUACAAGGUAUAAUGAACACAAAGGUACUUUUCAAUCUGUAGAAUACCAUAUGAAUGUCUAAUAUUUCUGUUUUCAUAGUAUAAUCACAUUGCCUCAUAUAACAUUUUCCCCUAUACACAAAAAUACAAAACUCUAAAAUAGUUCUCAGAAAUACAAUUAAUAUAUACUAAAAAUCUUAGUGCAAAGAGCACGAGUGACCUGACCAGCAUUAAUAGUGACCAGCACGAUGCAGAUAUUUAUACAUAUCUGAUUUUUUUAAAUAAAAAUGUGUUGAAUAUUUUAUCUGUCAGACUCCAGUCAGGAGAUAUAAACCACACUAGUUAUCUUAACAGAGUUAUAGUGAAGAAUUAAAAGCGUAGAAAGUAAACAUUAAGGUGUCACAGAGGUAAAGGGAAAAUAUCAUUGCAAAAGUAGCCAUCAUUCAAAGGGAAUAGGUUAGAAUUACUUAAACUCAGAUGCUAGAGAAGAAGCACAUGAAUCUGACAUUCGGACCUCUGAGGAUGAGGAGCUCCUUGACUGAUGCUGGAAUCUGCAAGCCUUGCAGGUGGAUGAAGGGGGGUACGAGGUCCAGACCUUUGAGGAGGCAGAGCAUAUCUCUUCUUUCUCCAGCUUUCCAGUUGUUUUUUCACAUUCCAUAUUAGCUUAGCCUAACACAGAGUCAGCUAGCAGAGUAGAAAUGGGACAUGAAGAGUUCCAGCACUAGCAUAACAAAGCAGAGAAUAAAAGGGUGGAUUUAGAGCUGAUACCACAGCUUCACAACUGGAUCAAAUAUACAAAUGGUAGACUGAUUGAAAGAAUAAAGAAACAGAGAAAAGAAUGAAGAAGUGAAAUAUUUAUUUACUUGGUGGCUGAGUUAGAAUCAAAGUGCUCUGCUUUCCAGAUUUCUCCAUAAUGCACUCUAAUACCUGCAUUCCUCAAAACUAAAUAUAUGUUGAAAUUUUUGAAUCAUAUGACAUUUAAAUAUAUUAAGGAGAUUUACUAUUUAUAGGAAUAUUAUGGCAAAUUGUUUUGCAAGAUAAAUAACUAGUCGCUAAUUUAACUGGUUCAAAACUCAGAAUUUGUAUACACUUUGUUUGCUUAAGCAAAUUAAAUCUAAGUGAAAAAUAUGAGGUUCACAAACCAUAAGACCUACUUGGCUCCCAGAGGACUUUCUCAGCAUAUAAUAGUGUGCCAGAUUGAGUGGCACAAUUUUAGUUCCUGGCAAGAUGAUAAAUAAACACAAGCUCCUGUGUUCCCUCACUCCCACCAUGGCCCAACCUUGAAAGUGCUACAGACGAGAAAGGGUUUAGGGUAACAUUUUAGUUUUAUUAUUUUUCUGUCUGCAAACUAUCCUGUAUAGAUUAUUGUUUUCUCUUCCCUCACUCCCAUCACCAGUAGAGGUAGAAAAAUUAUUACACCAGCCAUAUACAACCAUAGACAUGGCACAAUAAGCCUAGCUAGAAAGGAGAAAAAAUAGUAAGUAAGUAAUUAAAAACAGUAAGCCCCUGAGCAUUCCCUCUGCUAUCCUUCACUCCCUCUACCAAUGAGGACUAAGUAAGCAUACAUACACUUAAGAGAAAAUGAUUAGAGAAUGUAAUUCCUGGGGAUAGGGUAGGAGUAAAUAUAAAGUGAAAGAGCACAAACUCUCUACAUCAUGUUACAUCUUCCUUUGACCCACACAAUCUAAAUUUACCAAGAGAUGUAUAAACUAAGGCUUGAGUUUUGGCUUUUCAACCUGAUUUACACAUUACCAGCCAAUGUAGCUAUUGCAUACUAUUCCUACAAAACAAGAAAAAUACUAGAUAACUGAGAAAAGCAAAAUCUACAAUAAAAACACAAUUCAAUGAUUUAUACUAGAUGGAGCCUAGAUAUAUUAUAGCAAAAUAUUUAAGAACACUAAAGACAAAAAGAACAACUCAAAAUUGUUUUAGAAAGAAUAGUGGAAAACAGAGUAACAUGGAGAAAAUGCAAAGGGAAUGAGAAAACAGGAUGUCUUAUUCGGGAUGAAGAUAUUAACAUAUAUAUAUAUAGAGAGAGAGAGAGAUUUAUUUAAUGCAAGAAUACAAAUAGAAUGUGUAACUUUCAUAGCAACAGAAAAAUCAAUAGAAAAUAUGCAGUAAAGGAGAAAAAAGAAACAAAAAAGGCAUAUGGCAAGAGAGACAAAUAUAACAAUAAUUAAAAUAAUUUUUUAAUUCACCAAUUAAAAAUUAUAAACUAUCAUACUGAAUAAUAAAACUAGCAUCUACUAUACAUCAUAUAUGUGUGGAUUAAAACUAGAAUGUCAUAGGUUGAAAUUAAAGAGAAAGGAAAAAAUAUACCACACAGUUACGAAUCAAAACAAAGGUAACCAUUUUAAUAUCAGAAAAUAAAUAUAACUCAAAGGUACACACACACACACACAAAGAAAGAAGAAUGUAGGGUACUGGUAAAAGAAAUAAUCUACAUAAUACAGGAUUCAAACAUGCUUAUGAACCCAACUCCAUAGCCCCAAAAGAUAUCCAGUACAACAAUGACAGAACUGUAAUGAGAAAUUGAAAAUUGAGAGUUACUUAAUUUGUGUGGGGAAAACUGCGUUGUUUUGUUUUUAUAGAGAAAAAAAUCAAACAGAUUUUUACAUAAAUAAAGUGCAGAUAGAUUAAAAUUUUGAUUGUAGAAAAAAAUAAAAGUAAUAGAAGAAAUUUCAGAAUAUAUCUGUAACCUGCUGAUGGAAAAGUAUCUUUUAAUCUUUAAAAAACCCACAAAAUACACAGCAACAACAAGACAACAACACAGAUUUAUUUGAUAGCAACAAAAUAAAAUUUUGUGUUUAAUGCAAGUUAUUAUAAGUAUUGCAAAAAACAAAUAGUACUUUGGAAGAAUAUAAUUGCAGUCUAAAAUUUAAAAUAUAUUAACACCUGGAAUUUAAGUGGAACUCCAGAAAAACAGAAAUAAUUAUAUCAAAACCCAAUAUAAAAAUGGACAAAGACUAGGAAAAGCCAAUUAUAAUGAUUAUUACAGAAGACAAAUUAAAAUACAUGUGAAAUACAAGUGGUAUCCCCUAAACUUAUCAAAAAAUAACAAAAAUAGAAUAUCAGAUAAUAUCACAUGUUAGAAUAUGAGUAGAUAAAAACUUCACAUACUACUGAUAGAAAUAUUCAGGUAUAGCCAUUCUGGAAAUAAAUCUGAGAAGACCUAAUGAAAUUAAAUUAAAUACAGUACAUACUAAAACUCUUUAAUUCUACUCGUGUGGUAGUCAGGGCAGUGUUUCCUUUGCAGUAGUUGCAUACCCUGAAAUACUCCACAGCAAUAAUGAACGAGAAGUCAACGCAGCAACUUGAAUAUCUUAAAAAUACAGUGUUGGCCUUUUAAACAAGGAUG